AGUGAACGCUGGCGGUAGGCCUAACACAUGCAAGUCGAACGGCAGCACAGUAAGAGCUUGCUCUUACGGGUGGCGAGUGGCAGACGGGUGAGGAAUACAUCGGAAUCUACUUUUUCGUGGGGGAUAACGGAGGGAAACUUACGCUAAUACCGCAUACGACCUACGGGGGAAAGCAGGGGAUCUUCGGACGUGGCGCGACUGGAUGAGCCGAUGUCGGAUGAGCUAGUUGGCGGGGUAAAGGCCCACUAAGGCGAGGAGCCGUAGCUGGUCUGAGAGGAAGAUCGGCGGCACUGGAGCUGAGACACGGUCCAGACUCCUGCGGGAGGCAGCAGUGGGGAAUAUUGGGCAAUGGGCGCAAGCCUGAUCCAGCCAUACCGCGUGGGUGAAGAAGGCCUUCGGGUUGUAAAGCCCUUUUGUUGGGAGAGAAAAGCAGCAGGUUAAUACCCCGCUGUUCUGACGGUACCCAAAGAAUAAGCACCGGCUAACUUCGUG
rnacentral:rRNA from 1 species